CACGUAGGGCGCGAGCGUUGUCCGGAAUUAUUGGGCGUAAAGAGCUCGUAGGCGGCCUGUUGCGUCCGCUGUGAAAGCCCGGGGCUUAACCCCGGGUCGGCAGUGGAUACGGGCAGGCUAGAGGUAGGUAGGGGAGAAUGGAAUUCCCGGUGUAGCGGUGAAAUGCGCAGAUAUCGGGAGGAACACCGGUGGCGAAGGCGGAUCUCUGGGCCUUGCCUGACGCUGAGGCGCGAAAGCUAGGGGAGCGAACAGG
rnacentral:rRNA from 1 species